AUCUCAUGAAGAUAUCACAUAGAUAAUCUAUCACCAUAGACAAAUCUAUCGCUGAUAUUAACCGCGCCAUCUUGGGGAAAUCUAGUGUAUGUCUCAAAAACCUUCACAGAGGAGAAAAAAGAUAAUCAUUUCUGUGGUUUGUAUGUUUUUGAUUAUUGUGGGUCCACAAUUUUUAUUAGUUACAGAUAUUCGGCUCCCAACUGCAGGUUUGAAAAUUACUAGUGGGAAACUGACGAACUAAAAGACAAUCAUAGACAAUAGACUUCUCUAUCAUGUCUAUUGUACACUUCCGCCCUGGCCUGAUUUCAAGUUUGAACUGCAAUGUUCGAAGAGUCACCAUUAACAUUUCGACGCCUUAAGGUUUGACCUGAACGAUGAGAUAACAUCCCUGGAUUAGACAAACAAAUUACUCAUAGACAGAUGUAGUUGUGGCAGUCAGACGGUUAUUUUUCUUUCCAAGGAUGCUUCUAACGAGCUGGGCGAAAAACUGUAGGCACCGAAUAUUAAUGAUAGUAAUAAUCAUUACUAAUUACUAAACAUUAACAAAUCCCGUGAAUACGAAUCAUUGUUUCAACAGGUAUGAUUUAAGUAUAAUAAAUUAAAAUGGAGACAAAGGAGAAGGAAUUGGAACAUGAAGAUACUAAUGGAAGAAUUUAUGCCAAUAAACUGAUUUCCCAACAAAUGAGAUGGAGUUCCAAUUAAUUUUGGUGCUACUGAAACCAGCAGUGCUGUUGAUGUCUUCAUACAAUUCAGUUAAUUUCGAGCUUGUGAGAGGGAAGCAAUUGGAAAUUUGGAAACCACUGAAUCAACGGAUUUGUCUGCCGUGGUAGCCCUCGUGGAUUUGGCUACAGUUGAUUAAGCAUGAAUUGAGAUUAAAGUGAAUCUAUGGCAUUUUAACAAUUAUCUAUUGUUCCGGAAGAUGUUGUGCAUCUGUGGUUUUGCCCUUAACAAAUAUCUAUAGUCCACACCUUAAAUUGAUGUCAUUCAUCUAUGAUUGUCAUUUAUAUUGCCUAACAAACGAGAGAAUUACAAUGCAGUUUGGUCCUACUGAAACAACUAAUGUCUACUGGGGUGUGGUCUUUCAUGGACUAUAUUCUUGAUUUGCUGAUUUUGUCUUCGCCUUGCAACAUUAUGCGGUUAAUUUUCAACUGAGUAGUGAGAACAACUGGAGAUUUAUUGGAAUUCCACUUCUGGAUUUGUUUUGCUUUUCACACAUGCAAACUUUGGAAUAUUACAGUCUACAGUUAAUUAAGAUCGACGUCGGAGAAGACAAAGAUGACCCCAUAGUUGAAA